CCUCAUCAAUGGAACACAGAUAACAUGAUUCACCAUGGCAACAAGUACUAACAAGCCUCGAUCCUCCUUCUUCUCCCCAGCGGAGUUGCAAAUCUUAAUGACUGCAUAUGCAGAAAGCGAGCAUAUCUUUUUACUAAAAAGCAAUACAAUGGCAGCAGCCAAAAAGCAGGAGCUCGCGUGGGAAAAAAAAAAGCUGACCGAGUCAAUGCGUGAAUAUUUAUUUGAGAUUUAUUUGAGAAGUUUUCUCUUGAAUGUUCCACUUAUUCAACAAUUAUACUCCAUAUGUGUGUUUGUGCGCACAGGUGCAACCCAACAGGCCCCAAAAUGACUUGGCAGCAACUAAAAAUGAUACAUAAAUUUAGUUCAAACAGCCAACAGAAAAAAGGCAGAGGCACGCAAAACAGGUGGCGGUCCACCACCACCACCUCUCACAGAGGCUGAAGAGAUGGCAUCUCUGGGGGGAGCUCAUCUGACCCAGCCACGCCCCAGGACACAGGGGCGUAUACAUAAGAGUUACUGAUGAUGGCCAGUAAUCUGUCUCGUGGAGCCUUCUGCCAUAACACACCUCCAUGCUGUUGAUGAUGAUGAAGACACCUUAUCAGCUGCCAGAGAGAGGGAAGUAAUAACUUUGGUUUCAGUUAAUUGCUCCACAAUACAACUUGCAACUUCUUUCUCUAACAGAGCAAUGCCGGAAGUUACAAUGAGGAAGAAGGUCCAUCAACCUCCACAGCACAGCUUACCUCACUCCCUGUGAAACAACUUUACAAAGUACAUUUAGAAUCCCAAAUAAACAAAUCACACCUAGAAAUGGAGCACAUAAGGCUGCAGAUCACCAAAACAAAAAAGGAAAUACAACUGCUGGACCAUCAGUUAAAGG